GACGAACGCUGGCGGCGUGCCUAAUACAUGCAAGUCGAGCGCAGGAAACUGACGGGACUCUUCGGAGGAAAGGCAGUGGAAUGAGCGGCGGACGGGUGAGUAACACGUAAGGAACCUGCCUCAAGGAUUGGGAUAACUCCGAGAAAUCAGAGCUAAUACCGGAUAGUUCAACGGACCGCAUGGUCCGCUGAUGAAAGGCGCUCCGGCGUCACCUUGAGAUGGCCUUGCGGUGCAUUAGCUAGUUGGUGGGGUAACGGCCCACCAAGGCGACGAUGCAUAGCCGACCUGAGAGGGUGAUCGGCCACACUGGGACUGAGACACGGCCCAGACUCCUACGGGAGGCAGCAGUAGGGAAUCUUCCACAAUGGACGAAAGUCUGAUGGAGCAACGCCGCGUGAGUGAUGAAGGUUUUCGGAUCGUAAAACUCUGUUGUAAGGGAAGAACACGUACGAGAGGAAAUGCUCGUACCUUGACGGUACCUUACGAGAAAGCCACGGCUAACUACGUGCCAGCAGCCGCGGUAAAAC
rnacentral:rRNA from 1 species